rnacentral:rRNA from 1 species
UGGGGAAUAUUGCACAAUGGGCGAAAGCCUGAUGCAGCGACGCCGCGUGAGGGAUGACGGCCUUCGGGUUGUAAACCUCUUUCAGUAGGGACGAAGCGCAAGUGACGGUACCUGCAGAAGAAGCACCGGCUAACUACGUGCCAGCAGCCGCGGUAAUACGUAGGGUGCGAGCGUUGUCCGGAAUUACUGGGCGUAAAGAGCUCGUAGGCGGUUUGUCACGUCGUCUGUGAAAUCCUAGGGCUUAACCCUGGAUGUGCAGGCGAUACGGGCUGACUUGAGUACUACAGGGGAGACUGGAAUUUCUGGUGUAGCGGUGGAAUGCACAGAUAUCAGGAAGAACACCGAUGGCGAAGGCAGGUCUCUGGGUAGUAACUGACGCUGAGGAGCGAAAGCAUGGGUAGCGAACAGG